CUGCACGGCCUACAGCACUUGAGCAUGCCGAGAGCUUAUGCGCUGAUUCUAGGGAAUUACAAGAGCUCUCAAUUUAGGCUGAUUAAAGAAGCAGGACAGGAAAUAAUAUAAAAUACAUGGCAUAGUCAUUUGCUUUUUAAAAGGCUCUGUUUCUCCCCUCCCCCGCCCCCCUUCUCUGCCUCCUCUGCGACAGCUGCGUACCCGGAUGGAUGUGCGUGCUCAGAAAUUGCAUUAGCAAGAUACAACGAGCUACUUCUCUUCUCUCUCCUGGAUCCCAAGGGCAGGCUUGGCCCUGGUGGAAGCUGCAACUCCUGAGGAAGACUUCUGUGAAGGGUGUUGUGUGCAUGAGUGUGCACUGGCCCGAGACCUCAGCGUGGCUCCGGAUGGCCUUGAUACAGCAGCAUUCAGUAAACCCUGGUACGUUUUGAAUGCAAAAACUCACCUGCCCUUCUCACAAUUCUCACAUUGUUAAGAGAGGGAGGGGGUAUAUUCUGAUUCAGCAGUCACUUGCUCAUCUUCUCAGCUAAGUGGCAGAGCAAAAAGGUUGGGCUUAGCUAGGCAGUGGCGCACAUCUUUAAUCCCAGCAGUCAGGAGGCAGAGGCAGGCUGAUCUCUGUGAGUUCGAGGUCAGCUGGGUCCACAGAGUGAAUUCCAGGACAGUCAGGACCACACAGAGAAAACCUGUCUCUAAAGCAAAUAAAUAAGUACGUACGUAAACAAACAAAGAAAUAAAUAAAUAGUUAGACUUGUGACUAGACAGAGGGAGGACACCUUGACCAAGCAGAGCACAGAUGAUCAGGUCCCGGCAGUCUUUGCUGCUCACCAUUGCGCCCCCGACCCCCACCCCACUGCCCAGAGGACUCAGCAUUCUCCACUGCACAGCUGCAGAGCUGCUGGGGGGGGGGGUGUUAAUUGUCAAUGACUCACAGCUUAUACGGAAGACAGCUGCUGAACUGAGGUCACUGUUGGAUGCUACCAGCAGCCUGCACCUGGCCCCUCACUCCACCCCAGGACAACCCUGCAAGGCCAGUCAAAUUCUGGAGCCCUGGUGGGACAUUGGCUGGGGUCUGAUUAUGGUUUGGUGUGUCCUUAUAGCUCAUUCUGCUGACUCCUCCUCUCAUGGUAUCCCACUCUCCAUCCCAGUAGUGGCUAUCCAAGAGCCUGGCCUUCAACGUGUCUUCCUUUCUCCCAACCCUGAGACAGCAGGCUCUUUAAAAUCCCCAUUGGUCGGGGUUGGGGAUUUGGCUCAGUGGCAGAGCGCUUGCCUAGGAAGCGCAAGGCCCUGGGUUCGGUCCCCAGCUCCGAAAAAAAAAGAACCAAAAAAAAAAAAAAAUCCCCAUUGGUCGUCUUUAAUUGCUAACAGCAAGUUUCUUGACAAGGACUUUAGGGGAAGGAUCUCAAUGUGGAGGACCAAGAGUGGCUGUUGGCCAAUACUGACCCGCGUGCACGUAUAAUUUUCAACAUUGGGAAUUGUUUUCCAGGACAAAGUCAUGCAAAGGGUAAGUGAACGCAGAGAAAACGACGUGGUGCUGUAAAUUGAGCGGAAACCCUACCACAUUAUCAGCCUCCUUUCCAAGUGCUCCCAUCUGCCUCAUAUUGAAUGGAGUGUAUCCGGAACUAGUGAUCGCAGACAGCCACGUGAUCUGUACUGGGGAUGACACAAGAUGCCGAGGCUGCUGUCUUGCAAAGGAAGUUACAGCUGGGCCCUGCUCUCCGAUGAUGAUGACGGUGUUGGGUCUCUGCAUUUUAAUUCCCCGGGUUGGCAAGCAGGGGGAAAUCUAGCAAGCUGCGAUCAAAGCCACACUGGGUGUGCUGAAAGUGUUCUCUCAGCUUGGCACAGGUUAGAGUUAUCUGGGAAGAGAAAACAAAACCUCAGUUGGGAAAAAUGCCUCCAUCGGAUUGGCUUAGAGGCUAGUCUAUGGAAGCUGUUUUCUGGAUGAGUGAUUGAUGUGUGAGGGCCCAGCCCACUUCAGGUACCGCCCCUCUGCAGGUGGCCUUGGCCGGUAUGAGAAAGCAGAUUGGGCGCACAAUGCGGAACAAGGCUAUCCUUGAGCAGUGGCCCUCCUUAGCUCCUCCUGCAGUUCCUGCCUCCAGGUCCCUGUCUUGACUUCCUUCGGUGAUGGACUAUGAGGCAGAAGUGUACGCAAAUAAACCCUUUCCUUCCCAAGUUGCUUCUUUUGUCCUGUUAUUUAUCACAGCCACAGAAAGCAAACUAGGACACUAGACUUCAGCCAUGGCACCACUCCUGAUGGCCUCGAGGGUGUUGGGUACAAGUUGUGACAAAUUGGCUGAGCUCUGGGAUGGAAAUCUGUAACUUGAUCAGACUUGCUAUAGGUAUUGCCCAGUGAAUUAGAAACCCCUGGAAAAAUGUGAGUUUUAUUUUAUUUUAUUUGACAAAUCUACAUGUGAUUUUUACAUUAACACUGAAUUCCGUUCUCACUUCGUUAUAGCUCUACUACACGACGAACAUGAAGUUCUUUAGGGGGAUGGUGGCCCACACAGCACUGUGGCAUUUCCAGUUUGCUUUUCUUCAUUGAGAAGAAAAAUCACAUGAGGGAUAAACCUGCCAGAUGAAUCUCAUGGAUGCUCUCAAGCUACUGAAAUUGGAAUCGGGCACCCUCGAAAUGAUGUUAACCAGGAAUACCAGCUUGAGAAACAUAGCGUGAGAGAUGUCUGUAGGAUGGCUACCCUCUGUUUGAGGCUGUGGAGGAGACCAGAGAGUCCCACUGGCAGGGAAUGAGCGACUAUCAAGGAACAGACAGCGAUGGAGAAGACACCUGUGUCUCCCAUAUUCUCAUUUCUGUUGAACAGAAGAAAGUCUUUAGGGUACCCGUUCUCAGUGAGCAGACCCUCUGAGAUUAAUGCAAGGGCUUAUUGCUCUUAGGUCCAACACAGCAUGACUAACACGUACACCCUCCCUCUCUCAGACCAGCUGGAUUCUUUCAGGGGUGGCUCUGUUGUUUACUCCUGUAUAUUCUUUCUAGGCUGAGAACCCCCCUGGUAGGGAAGAAUCAUGUGGCUCUCUACAGGCAGUAAAUGCCCCACAAUGUUUAAUUUGGGGAGUAUAGCAUGCAUCAUCACACUGAAGUUCGCGUGGUCUUUCUGCUACCACUAGGAGGCCAGGAGACUCUUUCCUUAAGUGCUUUAGAAUCCUGGAGAAUUCUUCACUUUUCCUCGUGGAGGGAGAAAAUGGAGUUGGCGACCCAUGUGAGGCAGAGCUAAUUUGAACUUGGAGAGAAUGGGGAAUUUCAUGGCUUUGGAGAAAGUCACGGGGAUGAGAAUGCAGACCACAUCAAAUAUUUUGGUUUCAAGGGGUGGUCUCCAUGUGGGGAAAAUUGUAACAGCCUUUGUAUGCAACUUAAAGAAAAAAGAACUAUUUUCCCAUCCACUGCAAGGAAGCUGUUGGAUCUACGUUAGUGGUGAAUUAGGCUACAUUUCCCAGCAAAACUUUCAGGCCACCACCAAGUACAACACAGAACAGCCCCUAAACUGGCUCUGCCCGCAAUUGCGUUGCUCAACUUUGGAAGUUAAAACAAUUGAAAUCAAACAAUAUACAAACAAUCAUUGUGUGUAUUUCCAUAAGAAAAGUGCCCUCCAGUUCUCUAUUCAAGUUUAAGACCGGAGAGGGCUUAGAAAUAUUUCCCAAGAAGCAUCUGUUUCCCAGGAAAGCCCAGGAGACAGAAUUGGCAUUGUAACUAAUAAUGGCAGUGUCUUUUUUUUCUUUUCUUUUCUUUUCUUUUCUUUUCUUUUCUUUUCUUUUCUUUUCUUUCCUUUUCUUUUCGGAGCUGGGGACCGAACCCAGGGCCUUGGGCUUGCUAGGCAAGCGCUCUACCACUGAGCUAAAUCCCCAGCCCCAAUGGCAGUGUCUUUACAUUUUCACGUUCAUCUCUUAUUCAGAGAGCUCAGUGAACCACUGACACUAAACCUUGUUAAUGUUCUCACUCUCUUCAUUCAGACAUUAUGUCGUUUUCUAUCAAAUUUUGGACUAUAUAGCAGCAGACUGCUUUUUUUUUUUUAAAACACUUUCAGCAGUUACUUUUAUAAAAUAUUUGGAGGUAACUGACUUAUAAAGAAAAAUGCUCAUUUUUGGCUCACAGUUUUGAAGGCUCUGGUCCAUAUUUAGCUGGUUCAUUGCUUUGAGCUUGUGGCAAAAGAACAUACAUAUCAUGGCGGAGAUGGCCUAUAGCUGCGGUGGGUGAAGAAUGGGUCAGAGUUGUUCAUCUCGGGGCCAGGAAGCAAAGAACAAGAGAAAGAAGUUAGUUGAAUGUCUUAGAAUUAAUAGAGUGACGAUUUCUAUUGCUGGGAAGAGACACUACAACCAUGACACAUUUUAUUGAUUCUUUGUAAAGUUCACAGUGUGCACCCCAAUCCCACUUACCUUCCCAUCCCUCCAUAUCCACCCUCUACUCUUGCAACCUCCCCACCAAAGAAAACAGACAGGCAGGCAGACAGACAGGCAGGCAGACAGAUAGGUAGACAGUGUCACCAUGGGAGUGGCACUAUGUCGUGGUGCGUCACAUAGUAUACCUUUUUGGACUAUGGCGACUCUUUUUUUUUUUUAAGAUUUAUUCAUUUAUUAUAUAUAAGUACACGGUAGCUGUCUUCAGACACACCAGAAGAGGGCAUCGGAUCUCUUUACAGAUGGUCGUGAGCCACCAUGUGGUUGCUGGGAAUUGAACUCAGGACCUCUGGAAGAGCAGUCAGGUGCUCUUAACCUCUGAGCCCUCUCUCCAGCCCCUAUGGCAACUCUUAUAAGGAAAAUGUUUAAUUGGGGCUGGCCUACAGUUUCAGAGGUUCAGUCCAUUAUCAGCAUGGCAGGAAACAUGGUGUCACUCAGGCAGUCAUGGUGCUGGAGAAGGAGCUGAGAGUUCUACAGCUUAAUUCACAGGCAGCAGAAGAAGACUUGAGCCACACUUGGGUGUAGCUUGAGCAUGAGACCUCAAAGCCUGAAGCCACAGUAACACACUUCCUCCAACCAGGUCUCACCUCCUAAUAGCACCGCUCCCCGUGGUCAAGCAUUCAAACACCUUCGUCUAUGGGGGCCAUUCCUAUUCAAGCCAUCACAUAGGGGUUUCGCGAUUUCCUUCAAAGUCUUGCCCAACGGCCUGAAGUCACCCCUUGGUGUUCACCUUACUGUCCCUUCCCAAUGGCACCCAGAGACCAAGCCUUUUAAUAGAUGAGCCUUUGAGAGACAUCUACUCCAUAGCAGAGAUGUAGGGAAUGCUUUGUUGCUAUUGGAUGGAACUCACACUCAAGGGCCUUGGCUUUCGAAGCUCAAGGUGGCAUUGGCUUUUGUAUGUGAAGCCAAAGCUAGAGCCUGUGGGUAAAUUCUUGAUGGGCUUUUUCAAAAGUACAUUUCUAUUCAGUCAGACAUGACUGGAGUUAGCAGAAGCUUCACCUGACCUUGUCCUUUGUUCUCGCUUUCAUGGUAACUGCAGCUCUUGCCCCUCACUGGCAACAUCAGUGAAAGAGGAGAGCAAAGAUCAAGGGAGAUCGGUUUCUCUGUGUCAUUCUUCUGGGGCCCCACUGAUGAUGAGAAAGCCUGGGCUUCUGAUUGGCCUGAGUCUCGAGUCUCAGUAUCUUUAUUUGUAAGCAAUCAUCCUUCUCUUCACUCAACCUGCACAUACCUGCGGAAAUGACGUCAUUGGAACAACACAGUAAAAAGGUGACACACAUUUUGCCCGUGUCACCUGUUUUGCAAAGUGUCAUAAACUGUCUGCCACCUCAUUUCCUGUCUCAGUUUUAGCCUUUAUUUUUGCAGGCUGAGACCUUGCUCCUACUGUCUCCUAAUGGAGAAUGUUCAAAAUGGUCUAUUUCAGGAGUCAAUUCCGAGACCUAAAUCAGAGGAGCUGAAUCCUCAUUCCAAUGUUAUAAAGCAGCCAAGGGAAAACUGCUCCCCAAACCAUCUUUAGUACAAAGACCCAGCACAUCUUAAGGACUAUUGACUCAAGUUGUCUAGAAAACUAUGGCCGGUGGCAGCUACCUUAGAGAGAAAGGCUCUUGACCUUGGAGCUAUGGUUAACAUUUGUUUGGGGACAAGGGGAAAUAACCACACCAUUCAUAAUUUAAAUAUGCCCAACUCAUGCUAAGCCUGUGGAUAAUCACCCCCACAGCCUGAUAUUUGUAACUAGCCUGUAAAAUUUGGCUACUGCUCUAUGGCUAAGUUUGUGAAUGGUUAUGGAUUUCAUCCUGUAACAAAAAUGUUGGCCAUGACUGUAAAUCCCUGGGAGCUUCUGCAAGAGGCUGGCUUCUCUUUUAGCUUCCGGACUGCAGAGAGGCAGAUGCCAAUGGCUGAGGAGUUCUGUUCUGGGCAGGGCACCAGCAUAGACCUCCCUGUUCCGCUGUCUCAAACUGGAUCUUCUCCCUGCUGCUUUUCACUGUGUCUCCUCAAUUCUCACCGAACACCUUGAUUUAAACAGCAGCAGCAACAGCAGCAGCAGCAGCAGCAGCAGCAGCAGCAGCAGCAGCAGCAGCAGCAGCAGCAGCAGCAAAACCUCCCACAAAAACUCGGUCAUGAGUAAAGUUAUGAUCGCUUUGAAUUCCAGAACCCUUGAUGGAUGUAGUUGUUGGGAUAAGGAACGUUCUCUUCUUGGAACAAAUCUCCUGCCCUUCUUAGGGAGACGGACUCAAAGCAGCGCUGUGAUGCUUCAGGGUGAGGCCUGCUGAUGAAGAGAUGGGCUUCAGAGAAAUUUAGAGAUGCCACUUAGAAGUCAUUAUCUGAAGUCUUGGACCGAGUGUUACCUACUGAUUCACUAAUCUGACUUCCUUAGGAUAGAGUUCAGGUGAUAGUCUAUUUUUUUUUCCAGACCAGGCUAGCCUCGAACUCACAGAGAUCUGCCCGCCUCUGUCAACCAAGUGCUAGGCUUAAGGGUGCCACAUCACCAUCUGGUCAGGAUGAUACUCUUGACCUAUAGUUACCAGAUCUUUUUUGUGUGCCUUACUAUAGCAAUGUUAACUAGCGUCACUGAAAUUCGUGACAGCGUAAUUUUAUACAAUCUGUCGAUAUAUUAAAAUAAACCCUAAAAAUCAGAGAAGAAAAUCCAAGAGAAAUAAUCAAGUAUAUUGUAAAAAAAAUAAACUCGUGAGACAUUU